AUUGAACGCUGGCGGCAGGCCUAACACAUGCAAGUCGAACGAGUGGCGGACGGGUGAGUAAUGUCUGGGAAACUGCCUGAUGUAGGGGGAUAACUACUGGAAAAGGUAGCUAAUACCGCAUAACAUAGGAUGUGCCCAGAUGGGAUUAGCUAGUAGGUGGGGUAAAGGCUCACCUAGGCGACGAUCCCUAGCUGGUCUGCGAGGAUGACCCGCCAAACUGGCACUGGGACACGGUCCAGACUCCUACGGUGCGCAGCAGUGGCGCAUAUUGCACAAUGGGCGCAAGCAUGGUGCAGCCAUGCCGCGUGUAUUAAGAAGGCCUUCGGGUUGUAAAGUACUUUUAGCGGGGAGGCGUUACCCGCAGAAGAAGCACCGGCUAACUCCGUGCCAGCAGCCGCGGUAAUUC
rnacentral:rRNA from 1 species